CUUAAUUGACUCAACGCGGGAAAGCUUACCAGGUCCAGACAUAGUGAGGAUUGACAGAUUGAGAGCUCUUUCUUGAUUCUAUGGGUGGUGGUGCAUGGCCGUUCUUAGUUGGUGGAGUGGUUUGUCUGGUUAAUUCCGUUAACGAACGAGACCGCUGCCUGCUAAAUAGUCCAGUGAGUGAAUUUCACUGACCAGGACUUCUUAGAGGGACGUGCGUUCUAUUAGACGCAGGAAGAUAGCGGCAAUAA
rnacentral:rRNA from 1 species